rnacentral:rRNA from 1 species
GUGGCGCACGGGUGCGUAACGCGUGGGAACCUGCCCUUAGGUUCGGAAUAACAGUUAGAAAUGACUGCUAAUACCGGAUAAUGUCUUCGGACCAAAGAUUUAUCGCCUUUGGAUGGGCCCGCGUUGGAUUAGAUAGUUGGUGGGGUAAUGGCCUACCAAGUCGACGAUCCAUAGCUGGUCUGAGAGGAUGAUCAGCCACACUGGGACUGAGACACGGCCCAGACUCCUACGGGAGGCAGCAGUGGGGAAUAUUGGACAAUGGGCGAAAGCCUGAUCCAGCAAUGCCGCGUGAGUGAUGAAGGCCUUAGGGUUGUAAAGCUCUUUUACCAGGGAUGAUAAUGACAGUACCUGGAGAAUAAGCUCCGGCUAACUCCGUGCCAGCAGCCGCGGUAAUACGGAGGGAGCUAGCGUUGUUCGGAAUUACUGGGCGUAAAGCGCACGUAGGCGGCUUUUCAAGUCAGGGGUGAAAUCCCGGGGCUCAACCCCGGAACUGCCCUUGAAACUGGAUGGCUAGAAUACUGGAGAGGUGAGUGGAAUUCCGAGUGUAGAGGUGAAAUUCGUAGAUAUUCGGAAGAACACCAGUGGCGAAGGCGACUCACUG